rnacentral:lncRNA from 1 species
AUGGCAGGGAGCAGGGCAGCAGGCAGGCAAACACUGCACUGUUAGCGACAACUGUAGCUCACAUCUGACCCACACACAGAAAAGCAGAGAGAGCCACUAGAGAUGGCAGGAGGCUUUUGAAACCUCUAGCCCACUCCCAGGAACACAUGACACACGAGGCUACACCUCCUAACCCUUCCCAAACAGCCACCAGCUGGGGACCAAGUAUUCAAAUCUAUGAGGCUAUGGGGCCAUUCAAGUUCAAAUCACCACAGUGGGCAAGUUCGCACAGUACCUUCUAUUUUCUUACAGUGACUUUUUUUUUUUGAGGUGCAAGGGUCCCCGAGGUGCACACUUGGGAAUAGAGCUAGCUUUCCUUCCAAUGCUCGCUGGACUCGGGUCAGCAGUGACGAGGUAGGGUUGGGCAAGCACACUGCUCAACCAUGUUUCAAAUUUUUAACUAUUGAGCUGCAGAGUUCAGUGGUAAUGUUCUUGCCUAGUGUGCCUGAGGCCCCGUGUUCUAUCCCAAACCCAAGGGAAUGGGGAAACGAGGUUGUCUUAAUUAGAAUUUAUUGCUAUAAAGAGACACCAUGAGCAUGGCAGCUGUUAUAAAGGAGAACGUCUAAUUGGGGCUGGCUUACAGUUUCAGAGAUUCCGUCCAUUAUCAUCAUGGCAAGGAAGUAUGACAGCCUGCAGGCAGACAUGGUGCUGGAGAUGCUGAGAGUUCUACAUCUUGAUCCACAGGCAACAGAAGGACUGUGGUCAACACUGGAGGCAUUUAUACGGCUGGAGAGAUGGCUCUGCAAUUAGGAGCACUGACUGCCACAGAGGAUGAGAAUUUGGUUCCCAGCACCUACAUGGCCACUCACAAUCUUCUGUAACUCCCGUUCCAAGAGAUAUGAAUCCCCUUUCUGGCCUCUAUGAGCCCUGCACAUACAUGGUACACACACAUACAUGCAGGUAAAUACACAUGUAAAAUAAAAAUAAAUUCUUAGUAUAG